GAGACUUGUUGCAGAAAGAAUUGACCAUGUAAUGCAUAAGAUGACUUAUAAAGCAGUAAACGCAUAAAGCAAAACGGUAAACACAUAAACAAGUAGCAAAUAACAAAAUAUAAGACAUAAUAAAAAUUAAGCAAAUCUAAUGAAAAAGCAUAAAAAAACUCGACCAAAUAUUCAAAAAGCCAACAAAAUCAAGUACUUGCUCGUACCCGUAAGUUUCCCCUGCGGAGUCGCCAGAGAUGUACACCUUUUUUUAAAAAAAUCAAUCUCUACCAAACCCUUUUAAAUUAAUAAAGAAUUUAAAGUAAAGAUCUUGAAAAGGGUUUUUCAAUUAGAAAAUGACAAAAAUUUGUUUCAAAAGGAAAAUAACUAAGAGUCGCCACCUGGCAUUUGAUUUCGGUGUGCCAGGCCACCGGUUCUUAAAAAAAAUAUUUUCCUUUUAAAACACUUGGACUCAAAACUUAGUCCGCACCAGAGAUUCAGGUAAGGAGGUUUAUUUGACUCGGGGAAAAGGUGUUAGGCAUUCCCCAAGUCCCUUGAAGGUCACAGCUUCGUACUCGAUCUAAUUGGCUUUUAAAAUAUUCAAGUUGAGGUAAAACAAACACAAAAAAAUAAACACACAAAAGGGCUCGAGGUCGUCCCAACCUAAUAAAAGAAAAAUGAAAAUAAAAAUAAAAGCUAGCCUAAAUUGUACUUCCUCCUCAGUGUUCGUUGCGGCCUCCAAAUACAUGAUGUUUCGGGGCAUACCCCGUAGAAUAAUAUAUACAAAUUCUUCGGGGCAUUCCCCGGAUAAAUUUAACUACGGGAGUGUCUUCUCGCCACAAAGCAAACGAAAAUCCUAAGGCUUGCCUAUCUAUGUGGUUGGACUAAGAAUACUACUAACAAUCCAAAAUAGGCAAAAUAGGAAUAAAAAUAAACUGAAGCUACAACACAUUUCGAUCAAUUAAACAAAUUAUCCCUGGACUUCUUUUCCUGUUGCAUCUUUUCAUUGUAUUUUAUCAAUGAUAGAAGAAGACAUUAGACUAAUUCAAACCAAAGGAAAUUAUAUUGAAAGAACCAAACAACGGAAGAUCAACUCCAUAACAAUUAUAUCACCACAUAAACAUAUGUAAAACAAGAUCAGAUAUGACCCGUUAAAUGCAAGAAAUAAAGAGUGAGAAAUGGACCUCCAAUAAAUCCGAAAUUUAUUGUUUGACAAUUUGAAAAUGCUAAGAGACGGGAUCGCGAAUCUGUCCGGAAAAGAAAAUUUGAGCACCGACCAAAGACUCCAACAUGUACAGGAACACGAACACGACAGAACCUCGAACGGAACCUCGCGCCGAUGACAAAUCGACCCUCCCCGCUUAAUUGAACUCCAUUUUUCAGCAAAGAUUGAAAGCUUUAAAUCUCUCAAGGAACUUCAUAUCUCAAUAACCUCCCAUAUUAAGAACAAAGACCAUUGAAACCAACAAUCAGAGAAGAAAUUAAAUUUUGUUAUGUAUUUUUCGGACUUAAAGACAAAAAUUAAAACUUCAAGGAACUGAAAUUUUUUAUAUGUAUCUACAUGUGAAUGAACUCGAGUCAAAAAUUAGAUGAAGAAAGUCGGAACCAAAAUCGAAAACCUCCAAUCCUAAUUUUUCUAAUCUUUUCUGUCUGGACAUUCUCCUUUGUUUCUGCGCACUGUUCGUGUGUUCUUGGGGGUGUGUCACGGCUGGGAAGGGUGGUCGUUCACCGGCGUGGAGUUGGAGGGGAUGGGCUGGCGACGUUUGGGCCUUUUGGAGAAGUUGAUAUGGGGCGGGAGGGGUGAUCUCACUGUAGCGGCUGUCUCUCUAGUUUAGGAUUAGGGUCCUUUUUUUUGGGAAAGACUA
rnacentral:lncRNA from 1 species